UAAAAGGUGGCCGAGUUAUAAGCAUUAGAUUGUAAAUCUAACUACGAGAAUUUCUCCCUUUUAA
rnacentral:tRNA from 1 species